AGCGAACGCUGGCGGCAGGCCUAACACAUGCAAGUCGAACGAACCUUUCGGGGUUAGUGGCGGACGGGUGAGUAACACGUGGGAACGUGCCUUUAGGUUCGGAAUAACUCAGGGAAACUUGUGCUAAUACCGAAUGUGCCCUUCGGGGGAAAGAUUUAUCGCCUUUAGAGCGGCCCGCGUCUGAUUAGCUAGUUGGUUGAGGUAAUGGCUCACCAAGGCGACGAUCAGUAGCUGGUCUGAGAGGAUGAUCAGCCACAUUGGGACUGAGACACGGCCCAAACUCCUACGGGAGGCAGCAGUGGGGAAUCUUGCGCAAUGGGCGAAAGCCUGACGCAGCCAUGACGCGUGAAUGAUGAAGGUCUUAGGAUUGUAAAAUUCUUUCAACGGGGACGAUAAUGACGGUACCCGGAGAAGAAGCCCCGGCUAACUUCGUG
rnacentral:rRNA from 1 species